AAAAGGAUAAAAAUACUUAUUUCAAAGCCAAGAAAAUAAUGGCAGCAGAGCACGGUAAGCAGUGCAAAACAUGCCUGAGAAAGUUAUGGGAUUCCAAGACGUGGCUUCCACCCAAGAAUCCUACAAACAUGGCACAAGAAAACCCAGAUAAAGACAUUUUAAAACAGCCCCUCUAAACAAAAAUUAACAGAAGGAGCUGAACUAGAAAAUGUUCACAUGUAAUUCCAGAGCAGAUGGACUGUAAGUCUCUGAAACAGAAGGUCUCACCCACAGAAGCUUCUCCCCUUCCUUGGAGUACGAGCGACAACAAAAGCAGGAGGUUAGGUAACAUGCAGCCCUGUGGUUUGGAAACCCCAAAAAUCCUGCAUGAAUUCAGCCAGCUCUGGGCACCUCAACCUUGUAACCAACCAAGUUCUGAACAGACCAAAACCAACUGCAGGGGAUUUAUGCUUAGGCCACAAUUUGCUGGAGGCACAAAGAAGACACCAAGGAGGUCUCACUGCCUGUUCAGCCUACUCAGGUGCUUUUCUCUGCAUGUUACACCCACUUUUGGAGCAUGCUGAGGAGAGGAAACUGGGCUGGAUGAACACCUGGCCUGAUCCAAACUGCACUCUGUUCUCAGGAUUUUGCUCUCGGGUGUAGCAACAAAAAGCUGGAAAACCAACCAAUGUGGAUAUCGUGGAAAUCUACCCAAAGUGCUGAAAAAAAAAAAAAAGACAUCUGUAGGAAACGUUGUAAUAAAUAAUCCCAAAUUGUGUGCCUUAUCUCACAUGACAGUAUCAGUGCAUUUGCAAAGCAGGCUGGAAAUAACAGCUAUUGAGGCAACCUCAUGGAAGCGCAAUGUGCUUCCCAUGGCUUUUAUUUCUUUUUUCGGGAGCAAGGAUUAACGAAUUCAGCAGCAAACCCAGAGCCCGCGUUCAGCAAAACUUCCACCAGCAGCUUAAGGAGUGAUUGAUGGGUAAUUUUCCAGAUCUCAACAAUAAUAAGGACGGCAGCAAACAUGAAAGGGUGCAGCAGCGUUUGUGUGGGGCAGCGCUGGGUGGCUCAGCGUGCCAUUGUGCCGAUUGUGACCGAGCCCGCCGUGAUCAAUGGAGCCCUUUGCAAUCAAAUGCAGGUAUUUACUCGAACCCAACACACAGCCCAGUGUUUGUCUAGCUCCCAGUCUGCCUGUGUCAGCUAAUGCUGUGUUUGGAAGAGGUUUCUGACUCUGACAAAGAAGUGGAUAACCA
rnacentral:lncRNA from 12 species